rnacentral:lncRNA from 1 species
CUGGCCUGUCUCUACCUAGGUAUGUCAGGGUGACCCUACACACUGGCCUGUCUCAACCUAGGUAUGUCAGACUGACCGACACACUGGCCUGUCUCAACCAGGUAUGUCAGAUGACCGACACACUGGCCUGUCUCAACCUAGGUAUGUCAGGAUGACCGACACACUGGCCUGUCUCAACCUAGGUAUGUCAGACUGACCGACACACUGGCCUGUCUCAACCUAGGUAUGUCAGACGGACCGACACACUGGCCUGUCUCAACCUAGUAUGUCAGACUGACGACACACGGCCUGCUCAACA